GCUUGUGCUUAACAUCACGUAUGGUCUGCUCUCUGCUCUAUUUCUCUCUCUCGGCUUUGGAUCUCCCUAUCUCUCUCUGAUUUUCUCUCUCUCUCUUCUUCUUUCACUCUUGGUUAAGGUGCUAGCCCUCUCUCUAUGGUUCUCUCUGUGCUCUGAUUCUAUCUCUCUCUCUCUCUCUUGAUUAAGGCAUUGGCUCUCUCUCUCACGGCUCUGGAUUUCCCUUUCUCGGCUCGGACUCUCUCUCUCUCGGUUAGGGCACUUGCUCUAGUUCUCUCUGUCAAUCUCUCUGUUAGGGCGGCAUUGGCCCUCUCUUUCUCUCAAUUUGGGGCUGCCCAAGGGGCUCUCUAUCUCUCUGGUUCUCUCCCUGCUUUGGUUCUUUCUCUCUCUCUCUCCCUGCUUAGGGCACUGACUCAAGGGGUCUCUCUCUCAAUUUGGGGCAGCCCCAAGGUCUCUCUCUCUUGCUCUACCAUUAGAAUCGAUGUCUUCUUCAAAUGGAUAAAUGGUUCACGAAGACAAAGGGGUUCAGCCAGUCAAGAGGUUGUUUUGAAGAGAGGAAGAUUCGGUCCCAGAUAAUCAACACUAGACCAUCGAAGGAAGUGCCAAAAUUGCUGCAUUCAAAUCAAUAAAUAUAAAUGUGUUUUUUAAAUUUCAGUUUAUGGAAUGCAUAAUGCAAUCGGUUCUUUCAAGAUGAAGUUCAAUGGCAAAAUAUUGUGCAAUAAUGCCGCCUUCUUGUGGGGUUGUCUUUUGUUGUAGAAUUCUUAAUUCGUGUACUUCUAUGUAAUAGAUUCAUAGUCUUA